GAAAGGCUUCGGUUGCAAAUCGUACGCAUUCUCGCCAAGUCCGCUGAAUCGUGCACACCUAUGCAGGUAUCUUACGAUGUUUCCCAAUCCAUUCGAUAGAAAACAUUCGACGAUACGACAAGUUAUCGAUCGACUUUUCGAUUCGAGAAACGCGCGCAAUGGAUUGUCUCGCAAAGCGAGCAAGCGUAGCAACUCAUCCACGCUCUCGAAUACCUCAACGUCGAGUGGAAAGAUAUUCGUUUUCUCGACUCGUUCGUGAAUCGGACCCGUGUUAAGUGCUGAUUGCAUCUUGUGUUUCGCUACUCUACUAUUUGGUACGCGAAAUAUUGCUAACUGAUCCUUGAAACGGCAUCAAUUAUGAAGAAUGACGGAGCAUAACUGGCCCUCAGUGCAAUGUGCUUGAGAUACAACGCGACAUAUACUAAAACAUAUAAAUAGCUGUCAUACUUAUGCUAUAAAGAGACGAAAUACUCUAAAAAAAUUAAGAUUCGCCUUGCUCUGCCUGUAGAAAGAUUUAUAUUCAGGCCAAUUUAGGUUUUAUUUAGAAAUUAGAUUAUCUCUAUUGAUGCUCAAUUGUUAUCUACACAAGAAAAAUUUAAUGCAUGUUAAUAAAAUAGGUUGUUUUUGGUUAUCUACAACAUUUCUUAGUGGUUGACGUAUUUGUAUUCCCGGUAAAUUAAAAGGCAAAGGCCAUCUCUUUGCCGUCGUAAGGUAAGCAUAAAUUGGUCUAAUAUCUAAACCUGAAACAAAAGCGUAAUUAUUGUAUACUAUAGAUUUUAUAUAAAAGUUAUUAAAUUAAUUUUAAUAUUGCCAUCCAAAGCUUUAAUAUUUAUAAUUAUAGAUAAGAAAUGUAAUAGUUAAGACAUACCAAUAUACGAAAUUAUCAAUU